UGGGGAAUUUUGCACAAUGGGGGAAACCCUGAUGCAGCGACGCCGCGUGAUUUAGAAGGCCUUCGGGUUGUAAAAAUCUUUUCUAUGGGAAGAAAAUGACAGUACCAUAGGAAUAAGGACCGGCUAAUUACGUGCCAGCAGCCGCGGUAAUACGUAAGGUCCGAACGUUGUCCGGAAUCAUUGGGCGUAAAGGGUACGUAGGCGGGUAAGCAAGUUAGAAGUGAAAUCCUAUAGCUCAACUAUAGUAAGCUUUUAAAACUGCUCACCUUGAGGUAUGGAAGGGAAAGUGGAAUUCCUCGUGUAGCGGUGAAAUGCGCAGAUAUUAGGAGGAAUACCGCUGGCGAAGGCGACUUUCUGGCCAUAACCUGACGCUGAGGUACGAAAGCGUGGGUAGCAAACAGG
rnacentral:rRNA from 1 species